GUGAUCACUGACGGCGCGUGUCGAGACUCGUUUGUGAGCAGGUAGGAUCGCUGAGAACAAGGCGCUUCUAAUAUUAUGGCCCUGAGAACACAACUGUGUGGGAGAAGACAUUGAAAAAGAAGAAGCAAACGAAGAAGAAAAAGGAGAAGAAAGAAACCAACAGAGGAAGAAGGAGAAGAAAAAAUAUGCAGUAGGAGAUGUAUGAUAACGAAAAGAAAUUUCAGUAUAUGAGAGGUGGGAAAGCAACUGUUUUGGACGUGGGAACUAUUCGAGCGCCACUACUGAGACUUUAUCACCUUACGCCUAACCCGCAGCGAGACAUUUCACAGGAGUUAAAUCUCUCGAGAAGUUGGUCCAAAUCUAGGUAAGUGAAUGACAGAGACCGAUUAAAUAACGGAGCGAGUGACGGACUUGAUGAGACAGAGAAUGUGGGUGAUUGGUAGAGCGACAGUGUAUGGGGGGAGUGACUCAGUGCGUGACUGAAUAUGGACUACAGUGACAGUGCCACUGAGAGUGCGUGAGAAAGCGACUCUAUGAGAGUGGCUUUAAAAGUAAGGACAUACUAGGUUCACUAUCUCUGCCUGGCUCUUUCUCAGUGAUGAGUACUUAAAAUCGAAAGUUCCUUGACUCACUCUAGUCAGCACAGGAAGAUAUAUCCAGCCAUCUCCUGCAACCGUUAAGUUAGCAAGAUGCUCUACUUUCUCAAACAUAAUCAACAUAUUUUCCUCUGCAUAACAAACAGGAGGGAAUGAAGAUGGAGGCAGUAUGUUCCUCUGAAACGUCGGUAAACUUCUACCAGACUACACGGCGCAACAACGCAGAAGACAGCCACUUUAUUUCUGCCAACUUUUCGGAACGUUAUCCCUGGACGCAACGCCGGCCCGUCGCAAGGCCUCUAGCUGUACCACCCAGCGACAACUAAUUUCGGGCAUUUUACCUUUGCUACAAGGCUAAUCGAAAUGCUCGAUUCGAUAAAAUCAUCGCCCGAGAAGAUUUUAUCGCAUUCAGUCGCCGCGAAAUCUUCAAGUCAUAUCAAUAUGAAUUCUACACGGACAUUUACAUCUCCAAGGGAUACCAACUUCGAAGGAGAAGAGGCUGGCGGUUAUGUCGACUGUAGGAUAUUUACUCUCGACAGAUAUGUCGGAGUUGAGGGGUCAAACAGUCUGUUCCAAACCAACACAAAAACCUGAAAGCAACAGUCUCAAGCAUCAAACUAGUUCGCAGCUGACCGGUAUCUCUCAAACUGAAAAUUUACUACUCACAAGCGACAGUGGUAAAAUAAGCUGUGAGGUAUGAACAUCUGAUGGCAGAGACAAAAUAAAAACAGUAGCAGCAGAAAUGCGAUCAUUAAAAUUUCUUCCGGGUAUAAACGAUUAUAUAAAGAAAAUAAAUUCUGAUAAACUUAAGGCUGAAGAUAUUAUGCCUAUUAUACACUUACAGGAGGAUGUGAAAUCAACUUUUCAUCAUUUAUGUUGGUCACACCUGGAUUUUGAAGUGUAUGUGACUUGUACAAUUGUUCUUUAAUACGCUCACAAAUGCCAAACAAAUGUGUCUGCAAAUUCCUUAGAUAAAAAUUAGAUAAGAAACUGAAAAAUGUGUGUACCCAAACAUUCUACAUUACAUUAGACUAAAAGUGGAAGUUUUUACCGGCGAUACAAUGGUGAUAUUAAUAAGACUGUACUUAGGUCCCUUCAUCCAGACAAAAAAGCAACAUUAUUAAAUUUUGAUAAUUUCAUUUUAUGAAGAAAUUAACAACUGGACCACGCUGCUUUCGGCUACCAUGUUUAAACUGCACUAAUGCUGUUAUCCGGUAGUGUACUUGCGACCAAUGCUACUGCUAAAGCUAUAAUCAAAAAAGACGGCGUGUUGCUUCAUGAUGGUUUAUGGCGUAUAGAGACAGAGCUAUGAGGCUAUGAUGCUAUGAGUUUGCGAGAUUAUUUCCCUCGAAAUUGUCUCAUUUAUAGUAGACUUUAGAGAAC